UGGGAACGUGCCCAAAGGUACGGAACAACUCCGGGAAACUGGAGCUAAUACCGUAUGUGCCCGAAAGGGGAAAGAUUCAUCGCCUUUGGAUCGGCCCGCGUCUGAUUAGCUAGUUGGCGGGGUAAUGGCCUACCAAGGCGACGACGGGUAGCCGGCCUGAGAGGGUGACCAGCCACAUUGGGACUGAGACACGGCCCAGACUCCUACGGGAGGCAG
rnacentral:rRNA from 1 species